GCUUGUCCAUUUUCAAAUUUAUUCAUUUACAAUUCUGGAGAUCCAAACACAUACAGUAUUCUAUUCAUAAUUAAAAUCUUCACCAUUUUUCCAGGAAUGCAUUUUGAUAUUUUUGAAGUGAGUGAAGUUUACUAAAUGAGAAGGCUCAAGAGAAGACAGCAUCAUAUGAAAAAACAUGCAGACAACAACGGAAGGUUUUGUGGGAUGAUGACAUGAAAGAGGCAAGUUGUGACCUGAUGGCUGAGAGGAGAGGCCUUGGCACAAGUGCUCUGGAAGAAAAACAAAGCAUCCUCUUCAAAGCAUUCUCUGUGGAACCUAUUUCAGAAUUAAACACUUUUAGGCUCUGUUAUGUCUUUCAUGGAGUCAUGUCUGUUUUUCUUUCGAGGUCAAUAUCUCCCUCUGUUCCCUAGGGAUUCCAAGGAGGUGUGAGUCAUAGUCAGUGAAAUCACACUGGGAAUGGAAUGGUAUUGUCAGACCCAGAGUUGGUUGAGUGUUUCCGCAGAUGAACAACAGAGGAGCCAAUGAGGAUCAAAAUGUGUGUGUGUGUGUGUGUGUGUGUGUGUGUUUAUGCACGCGUGCGCUCUUGCGCCCUAAAUAUAAAGGCUCUAAUGGGGAUAGUUUUCUUUUGGGGCCUGUGCUGAGAGCCAGUAGAUCUGUAACUCUGCCAUUAAUGGGCUUGGUAAUCUUGCCUGAGCAACUUAAUAUUUCUGGGCUUCAAUUUUCCCAUUUAAAAAAAUAAGACUAUAUGAUCUCUACUGUUGCUUUUGGCAAGACGGUUCUAUAAUUUUCCUUCAAUUUACCACAAAGAGCCCUGGACCAGAAAAUUCUCUGAAACCUUGUUUCUAAUAUAAGAUCAACCUGAUGAAUACUAGCAAUGAAAAAAGAAAUCAUUAAUAGGUGCAUA